rfam:Hordeum vulgare subsp. vulgare, WGS project CAJW01000000 data, contig: morex_contig_59477
AUAAUACUCCCUCCGUCCUAAAAUUCUAUUAAAUUUGUAUAGAUAUAAAUGUAUCUAGUCACGUUUUAUUAUUUUAAUACAUUCAUUUCUAGACAAACUUAAGACAAGAAUUUUAGGACGGAGGAAGUACUAU